ensembl:lincRNA
UGGAGCAAAAAAUGCUAAAGAUGGUUCCUUGGUUUGGAUCAUUGGGAAAUUAUUCUUUGGAUUGGUGCAGUCAGGAGCUUGGUGUUGUUUUGAUGAAUUCAACCGAAUCAGUAUAGAAGUCCUCUCAGUCAUCGCCUCGCAGGUCCUGGCGAUCAAGAUUGCCAAAAGCAGCUAUUCUGUCAGGUUCGUACUGGAUGGUAGAGAAAUACGGAUCAAUAUGUCAUGUGCAGUGCUUAUCACCAUAAAUCCUGGGAACAUUAUGAUUUUGGCUUGAGGACCUUGAAGACAGUUCUAAUAAUGACAGAAAAGAAGAUACUGGAGCAUAAAUGUGGUGGCAGUGAGCACCUCUCUGAGUUAGAGGAGUCCCUUAUCCUGAUCGAGGCCAUCCGAGAAGCCAGUUUGGCCAAGUUCCUUCCAGAAGAUGUCCUACCUUUCGAAAAGAUCAUAGAAGAUGUUUUUCCUAGAAUAACGG